CGAGGCACUCGCUUCCUUUCUGAUUGGGUUUUGUCACUUUAAUCUUACAGGGCUGAGUGCUUUUUGUGU
rfam:Enterococcus sp. 4G2_DIV0659 scaffold00001, whole genome shotgun sequence.